GUAUCUUAGGCCCGAUCUUGAGGCAGGAACUGAGUAGUGUUGAACUUGCUCUAUGUUGUUCGUUCACCCACUAUUCGGUUCCUGUCCCAAGAUCGAGUCUAUGAAUAU
rfam:Oryza sativa (indica cultivar-group) chromosome 5, whole genome shotgun sequence.